rnacentral:misc_RNA from 1 species
AAAAUCAAAUCGUCAACGAAAGAUUUUUUAAUUAUAUAAUAAAUUAAUAAUAAAUGAUACGAAGACGUGAUUUAUCAUUGUAAUAAAGUAUCUGAGCCGCAAAUAUAAUUAAUCGGUGGGAUCACAUCAAAAAAAAGGAGAAAGAAGAGACAAAAAAAAAUUACACAACGAUCAUCAUUAUCAUCGGGGUGCGGUUAUUUGCGUUUUUCUUGUAACCCGUUUAAUAAGGGAGUGGUUUUAAUACACGUCUAUGGACGGCAAAAAGUUUUCAAAAAGAAACCAGAGAAAAAGUUGAAGGGAAAAGAAAAUGAAUAAUUCGAAUGAAAAUAUUUAUGCAUACCAUGUACGGAUGACGCCUAAUAAAUAUGAAGUUCGUUGACGAGUUGAGGAGAAAGAAAUUUCAUCAUUCGCGGACCGUCGUAAUACGGAAUUGUGAAGAAAAGUUAAUUGUCCGAUUAAAAAAAUCGCGUUAAGUUUGUCUUUUUCUUUCGCUCUCCCGUUUUCCCUUCACUCGUCGAUUAUAAAAGUUCAGUUAAAAAUGGGUCGUAAAUACAAGCAACGUCUGAUACCCGAACAAGACAGAAGAAUUUGCGGCAGUAUUUGUCUGUGUCAAUUUACCAUAGUCAUAAGCUGCGUUGCUCUAGUUUAUUUGAGCGUGGCGAUCUACAUGCCGUCGCACAGAGCUUUCAACGCCGGAAUUGAACCGGAUCCGGUGAUGUGUCAGACGGUGAAUACCACACUCGUUAAUUAUUGUGCCUGGGCUAGCUGCGGCGAAUGGUGUUUGACAAAAACAACCGGAUUUUGUCCGCAAAUUCACGCGACCGUCAGGAGGAAUGGUACUAAUGUUAUUUUCGAGAACUGCACUAGAACGGCCAGCAUGUCCUGCCCACAGGUGAACACGGCGAGCCUGAAGAGGUACAACUGCAACAACGGUAGCGAGUGCAGUUCCUUGUCGGGUGUGUUCAAUUGCAGUUUGGGCCACUGCGCGAACAUGAGCGAGUUGAUGCUGUGCCAUCACAAAGCGGACGGGAUAUUGGUUGACAGCGAGAAGGACAAUAUGAAAUUGAACGGUUUUUUUAGCUGCCAAAAUUCGCGUUGCACGAAAAUAAAGCGGGCAUUUUCCUGCGACAGAUAUUGCCCGAAGAUAACCACCGUCGGCGUGAACGUAUUUCUCAUGCAGGACGACAACAUAUUUACCGCCCAUUGCUCCAGCGCGAAGGCUCUCAACAAAGCUAACGGAAAUCUGCCGGGCGAAGUGCUCCGAGAGCCCGUCAAAUUCUGGGUAGAAAAUUCCGGCGGGAUUAUAGCGAGCUGUCUGAACGUUCGUAAAGACGGAAACACCAUAAGGACGGAGGACUGCGUGAACGGUUCGCUGGUCGAGGAGGACAAGGUUCCGCAUCCUUACAUAAAUUUCACGACAUUUCUCGACAUUUACGAAUCGAAUCUGGCCAAUCCGGUUGAUCCCGACAAUAAUUACGUCCCGUCGCAGAGGUCCUUGACCAUAUACAACAGUUCGAGGCUUUACAUAAAUCUGGAAGGAUGCGUGAACACACUCAGGGGUGAGUGCAGGGAUUUUUUAUUAACGAACGGAAGGGACGGCGACAACCAGACUGCGCAGAGCAGAUACCCCUGCUACUAUAACAAGAACGAUUCUUUCUUGGUGUUGGCGAGAUUCGACUUGGAUAAAACUAGGACGGAGUUGUUGAUAGCUAUAAUAGUGCCGACGGUAUUUUUCGUCGUCAGUUUGACGACGUUGAUUGUAAUAACUCGUUCGGUUCAAGUGGGAGAUGACGCUAAGAUGAGAUGUAGGUAUUGCGCGACCGAAGCGGAAGAUAAGGAGAGCGAGGACGAAGGCCUGGUGGAAGGCACGCCGAAUUCGCCCGUUGGUUUUGACAACGAAAACGAACUUAGAACAAUGGCUUUUUAGCGGUGUAUUAAAUCCGCGCUCUACGAACGCCUGCCGUUGGGGGACCUCGAGAACGAAGAUUCGAAUUUUUAAUCGAUCCCGAGGAUGUUGAACCGAAUUUAUUCGCGGUGGGGGAAAAAGAGAGCACCACGAGCUGUCGUUUCGUGAAGAAAUUAUAUAUAUUAUACAAAAAUAGAAAGACGGAGAACUUCGUAACGAAAGAAAAAUUGACGAAUCGACGAAUUGAUCUCAACGAUUCCCUUGAAUUUGACGAAAUCAAAGGAUAUAUUGUAUUUGAAAAAAAAGGAGAGGAAAAUUCCGAAUUUUCGCCACAAGGAUACAGUUUUCAUUCAUCACGAUGUGCGAUUCAAGUGAUUGAAUAUUCAUUCCUUAUUGGUCGUUAAAUGUGAGCUAUGUACAUGAAAACUAUGUAAUAAGAUUAGGGUGGAAAAAUGGAAGAAUCGAUCGCCUAUAUAAUGUGUACAGCGUAUUGGGUUUAUUGCCGCCUCGAUCGCCGCCGUAUGCAAUGUGUACCUAAACGCAAUGUGUGUAAUAACCCUAACGGGGCCAAUAGCAAAAUUAAGUGAGUAAUUGAAGAAUUACUCGUUCUUUUCAUUUCCAAAGAAAAACUAUCAUAUAUUGCCUUCGUCGUAUUUUAUCCCUAUUUAAAAUAACGAUAUAAUAUAUAUUAUAUACACGAACAAUUUUAAAUUGGUUAAAAAUAUAUAUCUAUA